CCUACGGGAGGCUGCAGCGACGAAUAUUCCGCAAUGCGCGAAAGCGUGACGGAGCAAUGCCGCGUGUGGGAUGAAGCGGUUUCGCCGUGUAAACCACUGUCAGGGGACAGGAAGAUCUGACCAUCCCCAAAGGAAGGGCCGGCUAACCUCGUGCCAGCAGCCGCGGUAAUACGAGGGGCCCGAGCGUUAAUCGGAAUCACUGGGCUUAAAGGGUGCGCAGGCGGGCCUGCAGGCGUCUUGUGAAAUCCCCCGGCUCAACCGGGGAAUUGCAGGGCGAACCGCAGGUCUUGAGGAAGGCAGAGGCGGGUGGAACCAUAGGUGGAGCGGUGGAAUGCGUAGAGAUCUAUGGGAACGCCGAAGGUGAAGACAGCCCGCUGGGCCUUUCCUGACGCUCAGGCACGAAAGCGUGGGGAGCAAACAGGAUUAGAUACCCCAGUAGU
rnacentral:rRNA from 1 species